UACGUAGGUGGCGAGCGUUGUCCGGAUUUACUGGGCGUAAAGAGCGCGCAGGCGGUCGUUCAAGUCGCGUGUGAAAGCCCCCGGCUCAACUGGGGAGGGUCACUCGAUACUGAUCGACUUGAAGGCAGGAGAGGGAAGCGGAAUUCCCGGUGUAGUGGUGAAAUGCGUAGAUAUCGGGAGGAACACCAGUGGCGAAGGCGGCUUCCUGGCCUGCUCUUGACGCUGAGGCGCGAAAGCUAGGGUAGCAAACGGG
rnacentral:rRNA from 1 species